rnacentral:tRNA from 1 species
GGGCGGGUAUCUCAGCUGGAUAGAGGAACGGUAUCUAUCGAGUCUUGACGAAAGACUCAAACAGCAAUUUUUCUUAUGAUUAGAAAAGGGCUCCGUUAGUCGAUGGUUCGAAUCCAUCCCCGUCCACCA